UACGGAGGGUGCGAGCGUUGUCCGGAAUCAUUGGGCGUAAAGCGCGCGUAGGUGGUCCCGUAAGUCCGCUGUGAAAGUCAAAGGCUCAACCUUUGAAAGCCGGUGGAUACUGUGGGACUAGAGUACGGAAGAGGCGAGUGGAAUUCCUGGUGUAGCGGUGGAAUGCGCAGAUAUCAGGAGGAACACCAAUAGCGAAGGCAGCUCGCUGGGACGUUACUGACACUGAGGCGCGAAAGCGUGGGGAGCGAACAGG
rnacentral:rRNA from 1 species